CGACAGACCAGGGAAAUCAAACAGUUGAGGUGCCAUCUUGAAAUUUAAUCAAGUUUCGCGUGUUUCUUGAUUCGCGGAGAAAAUUUUAAAAAAGCAAAUUGCUUGUACAAAAAAGUAUACCUAAUAAAAUAUGUAUAAGCACGUAUUUGCCAAAAUAUGUGGGGCUGUAAAAACGCUUAUUUCUUUCAACUGAGGCCGGAGUGGCCGGUCAACAAGUCUUCAUUCCGUUCGGCUUGUCCAUUGCUGCUCGUCGUCAACCACGUAUAGUCUACGGAGGGUCUGCAAAUAAUCUUCCAUCUGAUCGAUCCAACUUGCUGCGCACCUAUUAUUUUCUUAUCCGUCCGUCGUCACUAUUAGCCGUGCGGUUCCGAAUUGUGGAACAACUACAAAAAGCAUCGCUCAGGGAGUAAGUAGCACCGUUUGUUCAACUGCAAGAGAUAGAGCUAACAAGUCUUCAAGCUUAUGUCGACCCCGGAUUUUUUUUGGAAUCAUGAGAAACAACUACGAUUAGCUCCUAGAUUUGCAUUACCGUAACUGCUUCUGAUGAUACAAGGAUGGAGCUUCAUUCCCGGUGGAACUGAAAAGUUUUUACUGCAUCAAGGAGUCAUGUAUUGGGGCAGCACAAAUGUCUGGACACCGAAUGUCUAAUCCGAAUCUACGGACUGAAUAAGUGCGUCCGUGUCCGUGAAGGUCACUGAAUUCAACUAAAGGUAUAACCUCAAGCAUCAUUGAUGGAUCGAUCAGGUGGAAGGCGGACGGAUUUACGGACCAUUCAUAGACUGAUUGGAUGGUGCUUACAGCCAUGGACCGCGUUGAAUGGAUACGACUGUUAUAUACUGUAGAGGACACUCCGGCAUUAGGCUGGAUGAAAAAAAUAAUGCUGCCAUGCCACUAAUGGACCCCUCUCUGUGUGGAAAGGAGACCGUUGAUGUAGCAAAACCAUCAAGUUCACAACGCCAGUUCCAAUUUUAAUUAAUUAUGUUUUUUCAAUUUUUUUUAAUAAAUAUAUAUUUACAAUAAAAUUAAA